AAGUUUAGUAGGGAGCACAUAUAAUAAACUGAAACAGUACAGAGAAGAUUCGCCUGGCCCCUGCACAAGGAGGACAAGCAGAUUAUUUAAGGAUUUUUUUUUUUA
ensembl:snRNA U6 U6 spliceosomal RNA